GGUCGUACAGGUUUCCGUAGGUGAACCUGCGGAAGGAUCAUUA
rnacentral:rRNA from 1 species